UACAGAGGUCUCAAGCGUUUGUUCGGAUUCAUUGGGCGUAAAGGGUGCGUAGGUGGCGCCGUAAGUCAGGUGUGAAAUCUCGGAGCUCAACUCCGAAACUGCACUUGAUACUGCGGUGCUCGAGUACUGGAGAGGAGAUUGGAAUUUACGGUGUAGCAGUGAAAUGCGUAGAUAUCGUAAGGAAGACCAGUGGCGAAGGCGAAUCUCUGGACAGUUACUGACACUGAGGCACGAAGGCCAGGGGAGCAAACGGG
rnacentral:rRNA from 1 species